rnacentral:rRNA from 1 species
UACGUAGGGGGCUAGCGUUAUCCGGAAUUACUGGGCGUAAAGGGUGCGUAGGUGGUUUCUUAAGUCAGAGGUGAAAGGCUACGGCUCAACCGUAGUAAGCCUUUGAAACUGGGGAACUUGAGUGCAGGAGAGGAGAGUGGAAUUCCUAGUGUAGCGGUGAAAUGCGUAGAUAUUAGGAGGAACACCAGUUGCGAAGGCAGCUCUCUGGACUGUAACUAACACUGAGGCACGAAAGCGUGGGAGCAAACAGG